rnacentral:rRNA from 1 species
GAUGAACGCUGGCGGCGUGCCUAAUACAUGCAAGUCGAGCGAACAGACGAGGAGCUUGCUCCUCUGACGUUAGCGGCGGACGGGUGAGUAACACGUGGAUAACCUACCUAUAAGACUGGGAUAACUUCGGGAAACCGGAGCUAAUACCGGAUAAUAUAUUGAACCGCAUGGUUCAAUAGUGAAAGACGGUUUUGCUGUCACUUAUAGAUGGAUCCGCGCCGCAUUAGCUAGUUGGUAAGGUAACGGCUUACCAAGGCAACGAUGCGUAGCCGACCUGAGAGGGGGAUAGGCCACACUGGAACUGAGACACGGUCCAGACGCCUACGGGAGGGAGCAGUAGGGAAUCUUCCGCAAUGGGCGAAAGCCUGACGGAGCAACGCCGCGUGAGUGAUGAAGGUCUUCGGAUCGUAAAACUCUGUUAUUAGGGAAGAACAAAUGUGUAAGUAACUAUGCACGUCUUGACGGUACCUAAUCAGAAAGCCACGGCUAACUACGUG